UACGUAGGGCGCAAGCGUUAUCCGGAUUUAUUGGGCGUAAAGAGCGUGUAGGCGGCCAGGUAGGUCUGGUGUGAAAACUCGAGGCUUAACCUCGAGAUGUCAUCGGAAACCAUCUGGCUAGAGUCCGGAAGAGGAGAGUGGAAUUCCUGGUGUAGCGGUGAAAUGCGCAGAUAUCAGGAAGAACACCAAUGGCGAAAGCAGCUCUCUGGGACGGUACUGACGCUGAGACGCGAAAGCGUGGGGAGCGAACAGG
rnacentral:rRNA from 1 species